CCUACGGGAGGCAGCAGUGAGGAAUAUUGGUCAAUGGACGAGAGGCUGAACCAGCCAAGUAGCGUGAAGGAUGACUGCCCUAUGGGUUGUAAACUUCUUUUAUAUGGGACUAAAACGAUCCACGUGUGGGAUUUUGCAUGUACCAUAUGAAUAAGGAUCGGCUAACUCCGUGCCAGCAGCCGCGGUAAUACGGAGGAUCCGAGCGUUAUCCGGAUUUAUUGGGUUUAAAGGGAGCGUAGGUGGGUUGUUAAGUCAGUUGUGAAAGUUUGCGGCUCAACCGUAAAAUUGCAGUUGAAACUGGCAGUCUUGAGUACCGUAGAGGUGGGCGGAAUGCGUGGUGUAGCGGUGAAAUGCUUAGAUAUCACGCAGAACUCCGAUUGCGAAGGCAGUUCACUGGACUGCAACUGACACUGAAGCUCGAAAGUGUGGGUAUCAAACAGGAUUAGAUACCCUAGUAGUC
rnacentral:rRNA from 1 species